UUAUACUGUCACUAUCUACAGUAAAACCUUGUUAUACUGUCACCGUCUACAGUAAAACCUUGUUAUACUGUCACCAUCUACAGUAAAACAUUGUUAUACUGACCUGUUUCACAAACCCCUGACUCUGGAAUUAAAUUUCAUCUAUUGUAAGAAAUGGAGGAAUGUUAGGUUAUCAUUGUUUGUCGUAUUUUUCUUCUUUCUGUUUUCUGAAAAUAUGCAUCUUAUUUAUUGCAUAAUAUAUAAUAUUUCAUGUUACUAUUUAUAGCCAUUGUUUCCUCGAUAAAACUUUGUUUCAUUUUUGUAUGCCCAUUACUUCCUUGCCUUUUCCCCCACAUUUUGUUAAUUGGUAAUUAAAUGAAAAUAUUUAAAGAAUCAUUUUCUUUUAGUGUCAUGGUUUUAUAUUCUGUUUGAUUGUCAGAGUAUCUUCUGGCCCCUACACCAGAUGUUAGACAUUUCACCAGAGAGAUGUCUGGUGCGAGGCAAAAAUUCACUACAUGUAUAACCAGUAUAUAACAUGGAGUUCGCUAAAAAUUCACUACAUGUAUAACCGGUUUAUAACAUGGAGUUCGCUGACAGAGUACUAAAUUACUGAUUAAUACAUUUUUAGGGUUCUAAAAAUAUCUCUUAUGACACAAAAUCUUUGCACUGAUAACCAUUUUUGUAUGAAAUCCAAAAAAGUCAUCAAUGAUACACAUAUGAUGGUUGAUUUGUUACCAUCAUCAGAUUCAUCUUUAUCCCUCGUCUGUCAUUUAUCAAAUCAUUUAAGCAGAUCAGUCUUACAUAGAACCAAUGGAAAUCAUACAGCGGCUUCAAGAUCCUUUUGGAAUCUCUUGUUUGGUAAUCAAAUACAAAGUUGCUUGAUAAAAAAAGAAAUAUCAUAAAAUAAUAUAAUUUAUUCUAAUUAAUACCAAAUAUUUUGGGAAAAUGACCAAUUUGAUUUUAGUUUGAGUUUAAAGGUACGCACAAAUUCUUAAUAUGUGCUUCGUUCAUUUCAGCUAUGGAAUAUCUUUUAUAAAAUAUUAAUUUCAAAAAGUGAUAGUUUAAAAGCUUUAUUGAUAUUUUAAUCAGAACGUGUUAUAAUGUGUUAUGAUAUCACAGAGAAUCUAUCAAUUUUGGUUAUCAUGCAUAAAAAUAGAAAUAUUUUUAAUAUUCCUUGUAUAGUAUUUUCUGUAUACAAAUACAUGUAUAUAUAAGUUUUGAAAGGUUCUAAUCUUGACUAAUUUACUGUUAUCAGUAAAGUGUGGAACAAUCAAAAUAACCAAGCAAGUGCUGUAUUCAUCAUCAAAUAUGUAUUUAUCCUCAUAUAAACCCCUCCCCCUAGUGUAAAAGUUAAAGUAUUCAUCCUCAUAUAAACCCCUCCCCCUAGUGUAAAAGUUAAAGUGUUUAAGUUUGGAGCUAGCUUAUUUAUGAACCACUUUUACCUAACUGUUAUCAGAAUUGAUUCUUCUGCGAAAAGGAAUAAGGCAGCUAAUUGCCUUUGAAUACAGUACUCAUAAUUUUAGUUUGGACAGUCAAGGUUUGGACAAUAAUUUUAGUUUGGACAGUCAAGGUUUGGACAAUAAUUUUAGUUUGGACAGUCAAGGUUUGGACAAUAAUUUUAGUUUGGACAGUCAAGGUUUGGACAAUAAUUUUAGUUUGGACAGUCAAGGUUUGGACACGGUCCAUAACCAGGUAUAUUGUAAUUUUAUUGCAUCUUACUAAUUUUGAUGGUGCUAUACAACGUUUAAAAUCUUCAUCCUAAUAAUAAUAUUUUAGAUUUUUUUUCCUGUAAUAGGCAACAUGUUGUCAUUCCUUAUGGUGAAGCAUUGGAUAAUUUUUGUAGAGGAGGAAUAACUUGAUAUCAAGUGUUUUAGGAAUCGGACCAAAGUUUCACUGAUUAUCAGUCUGCACAUCAAUGUAUAUUUACUGUAUUUAUCCUCAAAUAAACCCCUUCGUCAAUUAUAAUAGUUAAGAACCUUAUUUAUCCUCAAAUAAACCCCUUCGCCAAUUGUAAAAGUUAAGAACUGUAUUUAUCCUCAAAUAGUCCCCUUCGCCAAUUAUGAUAGUUAAGAACCGUAUUUAUCCUCAAAUAGUCCCCUUCCCUUUAAAAUAGUUAAGAACCGUAUUUAUCCUCAAAUAGUCCCCUUCCCUUUAAAAUAGUUUUAAAUUUCAAUACUGUAUUUUUCCUAAACAUUAAGCCCCCUCCCUGAAUAUAAAAGUUUAGCAGUAAAGUUUGGGAGGGUUUGUUUGUGCAUUAUUUAGCUAACUAUUUCAAAAUUCAUGACCAUACUAAAAUCAAGAAGGGAGAUUUUUUGUGGAUAAAUACUGUAGUUUGUAAGUUUUCCUGCGGUGUAUUUGUCAGUUUGAAAAUUAAAAUCAUGAAAAAUGCUUUGAUACUUUUAAUUCAUGUAACAUUUCACGUACUAUAAUAUAAAUCCUCUAUUGAUACAUUACAAAUGUAGUCAAAAGCUGUACGCAUCAACUCAUUGAAUUUAAGAUGGCAAAAAUAUGAAGAAAUUUCUAUGAAUCAAAAAAAGGUCAAAAGAAUAGAUUUUAUUGGCAAGUUAGUAGCAGGGAAUUUUUUUAAUGUUUCAAUUAGUGCGACCGGUAUUAGAAAUAAUUUUUUAGUCACAGUCUAAAUGUACAAGGUUUAUAACACUUUGGGAUGUUAAUUGGCUAACCUCAGAUUCUAAUUUGUGUUUAUCAUCAUCAUCAUUUAAAAGAAUUUAUAUUUAAACAUUGACAACUGAUAUAUUUUAUUUUUUAAGUUUAAAUCUAUGCUUGUGGUUUAAUUCAAUUCGUACAACAAUUUGCAGUGUUGUUGAAAAUUUUUAUUUAAUUCUAAAAUUUCUAAGUGGGGAAAUUUGUCGGGAACGUUAAGGUUAUAUGCUACCAUACAUGUGAAUGUACUUGAUUAAGAGUUGUGUCCCUUAGUGUAAUCUCCAUUUAUACCAGAUAUUUGUCUUCACAUUUAAUAGAGGUUUCGCAGCACGGUAUAACACAUAGCCUUAUAAUGUACAGACAAGUUUGUAUCCCUUUACCGUUGUAAAUUACAGUUUUGUUAACGCUUUCUGCUCUCGGCUAAUGUAUCUCAAAAGUCAGUCACUGUUAAACAGGGCAUUCUCACACUGUCAUAUUUUCACCAUGAAAAGAGAGUAAAAGCUGGAUUAAUAGUAAAAACACUUAUAAAUCAAUUUGCUGCACUUCAAACUGACAUUUGUUUAUAGCAGCUGUCAAAAAUAUUUCUAUUAAUACUAAACAUUUUAAAAGGCAAAAUUUUGAUACCAAGAGGUAAAACACAACAUUAUAUUUACAUAGUAGAACUCGACCGGUAGAGCAUCCGGCUAGUGUUCGGAGGUCCCGGUUCGAACCCCAAUCUGGCUGUGCAUUUUCCCACUCCUACUACAUUCAUAGCAACACGUAAUGUAUACAUAAUUUUAGUAAAGUUAUAGGCUAGUCAACUUAUACUACACCUGGUGAAAAUAUGAUGGGAUGAAAAUUUCAUGGUUAACGAAAUAAAUUCCAUAUUUUAUUUACUGUCCCAGCCGACAUUAUGUGCGGUACAUCAGGUGAUGGUGUGUGUGUAAAAUGCUGAAAUAACGCCAUAUUUUGUUUAAUGUCCCUCCCAACAUUAUCUGUGUUAUAUCGGGUUUGGAUGUAUGUGCAUACAUGUAGUGCUGAAAUAACGCCAUGUUUUGUUUAAUGUCCCUCCCAACCUUUUCUGUGUUAUAUCGGGUUAGGAUGUAUGUAAAUAGUGCUGAAAUAACGCCAUGUUUUGUUACUGUCCCCCGACAUUAUCUGCGAUAUUCCAUGUUAACACUGGCGUGUCCCCCGACAUUAUCUGCGAUAUUCCAUGUUAACAAUGGCGUGUCCCCCGACAUUAUCUGCGAUAUUCCAUGUUAACACUGGCGUGUAUAUAUAGUGCUGUAUCCCCACAUUUACUAGCAACUGUUUGUUAACGUUAUUCCUACUCAAUUUUUGUACAAUAAAAAGGGCAAUGUUUUGCUGUUUACAA